AGAGUUUGAUCCUGGCUCAGGAUGAACGCUAGCGGCAGGCCUAACACAUGCAAGUCGAGGGGUAACAGGGAGCUUGCUCCGCUGACGACCGGCGCACGGGUGCGCACCGCGUAUGGAACCUACCUUCUACAGGGGAAUAGCCUUUGGAAACGAAGAUUAAUGCCCCAUAGUAUCAUUAUACAGCAUUGUAUUUUGAUUAAAGGCUUCGGCCGGUGGAAGAUGGCCAUGCGUCCCAUUAGUUUGUUGGUAAGGUAACGGCUUACCAAGGCUACGAUGGGUAGGGGCCCUGAGAGGGGGAUCCCCCACACUGGUACUGAGACACGGACCAGACUCCUACGGGAGGCAGCAGUGAGGAGUAUUUGACAAUGGAGGGGACUCUGAUCCAGCCAUGCCGCGUGCAGGAAGAAUGCCCUAUGGGUAGUAAACUGCUUUUAUACGGGAAGAAAAAGGGCUACGUGUAGCCUGUUGACGGUACCGUAAGAAUAAGGACCGGCUAACUCCGUGCCAGCAGCCGCGGUAAUACGGAGGGUCCGAGCGUUAUCCGGAAUUAUUGGGUUUAAAGGGUCCGUAGGCGGGCAGUUAAGUCAGAGGUGAAAGUUUGCAGCUCAACUGUAAAAUUGCCUUUGAUACUGGUUGUCUUGAGUUAUAGUGAAGUUGCCGGAAUAUGUAGUGUAGCGGUGAAAUGCAUAGAUAUUACAUAGAACACCGAUUGCGAAGGCAGGUGACUAACUGUAUACUGACGCUGAUGGACGAAAGCGUGGGGAGCGAACAGGAUUAGAUACCCUGGUAGUCCACGCCGUAAACGAUGGAUACUAGCUGUCCGGGUCCUUGAGACCUGGGCGGCCAAGCGAAAGUGAUAAGUAUCCCACCUGGGGAGUACGUUCGCAAGAAUGAAACUCAAAGGAAUUGACGGGGGCCCGCACAAGCGGUGGAGCAUGUGGUUUAAUUCGAUGAUACGCGAGGAACCUUACCAGGGCUUAAAUGCAUAUUGACAGGGCCAGAGAUGGCUUUUCCUUCGGGCAAUUUGCAAGGUGCUGCAUGGUUGUCGUCAGCUCGUGCCGUGAGGUGUCAGUUUAAGUCCUAUAACGAGCGCAACCCCUACCGUUAGUUGCCAACAUGUCAUGAUGGGGACUCUAACGGGACUGCCGGUGCAAACCGUGAGGAAGGUGGGGAUGACGUCAAAUCAUCACGGCCCUUACGUCCUGGGCCACACACGUGCUACAAUGGCCGGUACAGAGAGCAGCCACCUCGCAAGGGGGAGCGAAUCUACAAAACCGGUCACAGUUCGGAUCGGGGUCUGCAACUCGACCCCGUGAAGCUGGAAUCGCUAGUAAUCGGAUAUCAGCCAUGAUCCGGUGAAUACGUU
rnacentral:rRNA from 1 species